CAAAGCAGGUCAGCCUACAGUAGCCUUCAGGGCAUCCAACAAGUCUGUGUGUCUGCUUUCUUUGCAGAUAAGGGCCCUUUGCAGUUGAAAGGAGGAACUCUGUCAUUUUUAGUAAGAUAACCUGGAGAAAGUUGUCUGUGGAGACCUACGUUGGCCAGCAAAGGUGCAUCAUGCCUUUUAUGAUGCUGAAGUCAAGGAGAAGAACUAAGCCACAGUGAUCUGAGAUUUCUGAGACACAAAAGUGGUUACUUCACUCUUCAUCAUGUCCUUUCUGUGAGAGGAAAAGACAGAAAAAAGACAUCACCGUACAGAAUCCUGUUGGGGAAGCCCUUUCUGCAGAUUCUGAUGCCUUCCAGCACACCGUUACAGCGCAGCUGGUGCAUGACAAGAGGGUUCUCCAUGGCCCCAGGGGUCUUGGUCUCAUUGGGGAUGAUACAGCGCACAAAAUGAGGAUGAGUUGAUCUCAGAUGUUUCGGCAGUGACUUUGUCACCAUCACGACCGAUGAUAGAUGCCUUGACAAACUCUUCUGCUGGAUCAGGGACGAAACAUUCCUUCUUCAUGUCGAAGGGGCGAGUUUGGGCUUCCAGACGCUCCCUAUCCGACUU